rnacentral:lncRNA from 1 species
UUCUUGAACGACACAUCACGAGCCCACGGCUCACAUUAUAGAGAAGAAAUAGGAAGGAACAAGAACACCCUCCAAGAUGCAGGAAACCAGGGUUAGGAUGAAACCUGAGACGAUUCUUGGUUCUUGAAGGAAAUGGAGGCAUGGUCAACGGCGAGGUCGGCGGCGUUGAGUACGAGGAACCUCGUGGCGGCGAGGACGUCGAGGGCGAUCUCGGCGGCGCCGGCGAAGGCACAGGCGGAGAGGUCGGGCUUGAGGAAGAGAUCGUAGCGCCAGGGGGCGGCGAAUUCCGGGAGCCGCGGCUGACCCUUGAACUGCUCCACGCUCUGUUCCUCCGCCAUCAAGUUCCCUCGCUCUCGCUCGCUCGCUCGCUCGGGAAAUUCCGGUGCCGAGACGUUUUUUUUGGCGCUUAACUUUACUUGGCAGGCUGAUGAAAUGGAGUGUUAAAGCUUCAUCAUGCGUAUUCUAUCGGUCAUAUUUUUAUGGAAGUUGUGAGAGUCUCCAUGUGGGUGUAAACAUUUUGCCUCCACGGGGACUAGGUUUAGAACACAAUUUUCACGCAACCGUCUGCUAUUAACUCUACAGCUAUUGCAUGAGAUACGAGGUUUUGUGGGCUGAGGCUGUGACUUGCUUUAAAGUGAGGAAUUGUGGCAUUUCUUCCUCUUUUUUUUUUUUUCUCUCUUCUUCUUCUUCUUCUUCUUCUCUUUCUUUCUUUUUUCUUUUUUUUUUUUUGGGCUAAAGCCAUGAGUAUGAAUGCACCCAAUAAAAUUAAAAAAUAAAAUACUUCUGAGUGCCAGAAACAAUUUUUCAUUUUCAGCCCACAUGAUAUUGCCGGAGUGACUGGCUACAUAAGCAGCCACCCAGUCCGCAGCCCUGUUAGCUUUACGGAAAAUAUGCUUGCCUGAAAGGCCCUCCAUCUCUCAAUAUUGUCCAAAUAUCUCGGAGCAAGAGGUGGAUGCAACUAUUACCCCUAGAGCUCCCCCAGAUCCAACUGAUGAUCGUGGCUGAAUCCCCUUUCAGGACAAUGGAACUGGCCCGUAACACAUACCGGGCGUGACGACAGCCCGCCCACGCAGCCCUCAGCUCCGCACUCGGAACCGAUAUAUCAAAAAGUUGACUGCCCCCUGCACCCACGACCCUGACAGAUGGGUUUCAAAUAACAAAAACCGCGCCCCUCCUCGAACCUCCAUCCAAUACAAACCCAUCGAAGUUGACCUUGAGAAAACUCGGAGGUGGGGGCUCCCAGGUAAAAAUACCAUACAGGGUAUUGUCGAAGCAAAAUGGGAACCUCAGAUGUCCCGAACUGUGAAGGUCCCUACGUCAGGUAUAAUGUGACUGAGCUCCGCCACCUGCAUACGGGCACUCUCCACCACAAAUCUCGGCGAUGCAAUACGCUCGCCCAAGGUUCGCACAUUCCUAGCCAGCAAGAUCUGGUAGGACGUGCUCGCUCGAGCAUUUUCCUCACUGGGUUUUGAACUUUUACUAAUAGGGGUCCCGUAGUUACCGAUAAAUGGCCCUUCCCAUCUAAUGAAUGCUAUUCCCGCUGGUUUCUAAAGGUUAAUGUUAGCUUUGGCAUCCUUCUUAAAUUAAUAAAAAGAUGCAUGAUACAUGCGAUGUAAAUGGGUCUAAACUAAAAGAUUUAAUAAUUUAUCAUAUGAUUAAAAGCAAUAUGGGCGACCAAUUCUGCAGUAACUCCCAGCACAUCAUAGCAGGGAAUCUUUAUUCGUAUAAACUAUGCUCAUGUUUUGAAAAAAUAUUAUAUAGUUAAGAUCAAUAUCAGGGAUUUUCCCAUACACGCAUGGUACAUGUCGUAUAUAAAAUAUCUUAAUGAUUUAAUUAAAAGCAUCAAUAACUUAUAUAUGCAAAUUGAUGUGAAUAAACUAGUGUGGGUUCUUGCAAGGCAUUUUCUAGCUGAUAUUGUGAUGAGAUGGCCGGCCCUCCCUGUUUUUUUAUUAUCGAUUUUUUUCCCUAGUUUUGCAAAGUGGGGGCAUUAUAAGACAUUUGAUAAAUGUUAAUGCAUCCUAAAAUUACUUUUAUGGAUGGAAAAGAACCCAAAUGUCUGUCACUUAACUUGAUCGACGAACCACAUUUGCAUCCAAAGGACAAUAUUGCACCUACCAAUGCAAGUUUAGCUUCACCAUUUGGAAUAUUCCCCUUCUCUGGAGUUCUCUGAUAAGACACAACAUAAAAAACAAGCAUGUACAAGCAAGAACUAGAAAGAAAGAUAUCAAAAAGGAGACCACAAAUGCAGACCUAAAAUUCCACCGGAGUAGCUCAGAUUUGAAACAUGCGGGCGUCGAUUAAAUACGGAGACCGGAUGCCUCCCACUUGGUUUGCCCGGUGGAGUCGCCAUUUGGUCUGCCGGUACUUAGAUGGUACUGAUAUGACGUACUCAUAUAUGGAAGGGACUACCACGUUGGUGGGGCUCCCUCACGGAUAGGAAGGGCAUGAGUAAAACUUGUCUACCCGUAUCGAAUAUUCUCCAACGAGAAGGAGGCCCAGUGGAGGUUGCUACAUGGGUGAGGUCCUCCACACCCCCUUUUUUUUCUUUCAAAAAAAAGAAAAAAAGAAAAAAAGAAGAAGAAAAGAAGAGAAGAAGAAGAAGAAGAAGGAGACCACAAAUGAUGCCACAAGCAGCCAAUGCCCUGCCAGUUGGUGAAAUGGAAGGUGCCUGUAGACGAAGUACUUGAUUCUCUGACUCCAGAUUGGAUACCUUCUCUUCAAGUCUGCAUGUAUGGAAAGAAAGUUGACAAGUUACCUCACAAAGUUGAAAGGAAGUUUUAGCUUAUAGAUUUGUAACUAUAGUUUGCUGACUCCUAGUAUUGAAUAGAACUAAAACUCUAAAGCAUUCAACUGUCAAAUUUCCAACAUAUUAAUUGUGUAAUUGAUUUCUUAUCACAAUUAGAACCUUUGAACAGUUUAUUGGAGCUGAUCGGCUCUUUGGUGCCUUCUUCAUACUGCAAGCUCCUCUUAAUGUGUCAACAUGCUAGUUGGUUGUUUUUAUCAUCACACUUGAUGUUGCUUAACCUCUGAGUGAUACACGACAUCUUCUCUGAACACCAUUGCUCUUUUUUGUGAGCAGCAGAUCACACCAAUGCUCUUCUCUGAAUUUUACACACUGAUUUAUCCUGCUAGGAUGUGCUUUUGAUCUUUCUCUAACAUGCAGACCUGGAUGGAACAGUGAAAAUUUGGGAAUUCAUUUACUAAAUCAGAAAUUAGUUACAAUUUCUGCUAGAGGAGGGACCUAAAGAUUUUUUUUUCCCCCAUAACAUAUCGAAUUGUUUCAACACCCUCAUGUGCUAUUGUUGCAGGUGAAAAACUCACUCUUUAAGCUUCCGAGAGGCCAUCUGAGACCUGGUGAAUAAGGUUUGUGCUAAUUGUGCGGGACUUUAUGUUCUAAUAACAACAGAACUUUUGGACUUUAUAUUCUGUAUCAGCAGACUAUUGUUAGAAUGGCAGCAUACCAAAUCUCAAUGCCUGGGGGAAGGGGGUUGUUCAAAUGCACAGUUAAUCCAUCUAUAUAAUAUUCCAUAUGUGAGGAUUUAACUAAAAUCUCUUCAAUUCCAUGUUAGAAUAGGAGGCAGAGGGAGUAUGGGGGAUUAGAGAAUUUGUUAUCGCAAUCACAGUGGUAUCCCAUGUUUGGAUGUGGUUGGAGGCUUACAAUGCACAUAUUUUAUGAGUACGUCCUUGGAUAUGUCAUCCAUGCAUGAUACAUAUCCUAAACAUGUUUGGAUAUGUAAAAGAUAUCAUAUGCAGCCUUACACCCUAAAAUUUUAGCGAGCCGGUUACUGAGCCUGUGCUUCGUAUGCUGGAAUAGUAAAAUGUUUCUAUUUGAAUCUUUGUCCAUUCUUUGUACCUUGCUUUGAUUUGAAGGCUGAAACUAGGAAGAUACUGUUGAAUUAAAAUAAAAUAUUUUAAAAUUUUGAAAAUCAAAUUGGUCAACGGCCAAGUGGCAAGCAUCCGUGCACAAACAAUGGAGCAAACAUGGAAAAAUUCCCAAAGGAAGUAGACCAUGACAAGUGUCAUGCAUCCAGCGCAAGAGCAAGCAUGGAAAGACCCCUCGAAGAAGAAAGGAAGCAUGAACGAAUAAGAUGCAAUAAGCCGAAGAAUCAAAGGAGCACAAGAAGACACGUCAUCAAUCUGCGGGAGGGGAAUCUUCUUCUUUUGACGAGCCUGAGCCUAUAUAAAGGGCUCUAGGGAUCAUUUCAAAUACAAUCAAAAUUUUUUCUUCUCCCUAUUCCAAGAGUCUAGAUAAAAAGGGCUCUAGGGAUCAUUGGGGAGAAAAGAAAUAAAGAAAAUUUUUCUUCUCCUCAUAAUUUUUCUAAGUUUCUUUUGAGCUAUCUGUAAGCGUAAACGUGCUCUUCUUUCUUCCCUGGAGGCGUACUGACGGGGAAGACGUGGUUCUGUAUUGGGUCGUCGUAUCUUUAGGAGAUCUGUGCUAGCAGACCUGUGCGUGGGGGGCAUAAACUUUUCUGGGACAGCGCAUCAGCGUGCUUCGAUCCACAGACCAUCUUCUUUCUCUUUCUUCAUUUUAUUAUUAUAUUGUCAAGUUAAUUAUUUGCUAGUUUAUUCCUCUUAUUUAUUGUUUUUGAAUAUUAGAAAUAUUUAAUUUACCAAUUAUAUUUGUGCAUCUAGGCUAACAACCCAGGAAAGUUUAUGUACUGUUAGCACUAGAUUUUAAAUUGCAACAUUUAUUAUAUAUUUUGCUGCAUAAUUGUAAAUUGUUAUAUUUUAGCUGUUACACAUUUAUGCUAGCUUUACUUUAGUACUUAAUUUUUCAGGCAAAAUAUUAGAUUGCCUAACCUCCAAGAGGUUUAUUAAUACCUCCAUUUGGACUCCUCACAGAGUAAUUUCCAGAUUCCAUUCAAACGGAAAUUCGGAAAUUGGUUAAUUCAUAGGAGCUAGCUUAAUAUUGCACUUAGGAUAAAAUUGAACGAUAUCUAGUGAAAUUAUCUAUUGAAUAAUGGUGUCUAAGAAAAGUUUGUCAAAAAGGCAUACGUGCCUAAGAAAGGCUGAUACUUAAGUGAGCCAAGUGCUCCACGACCGAUCUGGAGCUGAUCUGGCUGUUAUUCUUUAGAUUUUUCAACAAGACAUCUAAAGUUCAAAUUAGAUAUCAGUGCAAUAAUUUGACAUAAACCUUCUCAUUUCCACAAGUGUCAAAACUGUGUUAAGCUACAAAUUAAUGGCUUCCCAUAUAUCUGAAAAUCUUAGUGCUAAACCUGAAAAGUUUGAUGGUCAAAACUUUGGAAUGUGCAGAAUCAAAUGCGGUUCUGGCUCACCACCCUAGGCUUGAUCUCCGCCAUUAGUGGGCCUAACCCAUCUGCUUCACGACCUGCUACUCGCAACAACCCAAACCCUGCUCCUUCCUCUUCUCAAACUGAUGCUGCCUCCUCCACUAGGACUCCAGAAGAAACCAACUACCACUGUCUUCAUAGAAUCCUCGGAGCUCUUUCUAAUAGGCUUUAUGAUAUUUAUUAUAUAGCUAAGAGUGCCAAGGAUCUCUGGGAUACCUUAGAAAAUAAAUAUGGACUUGAUGAUGUCGGGGUAAAGAGAUUCAAAGCUUCUGACUUUAGCAAGUUUAAGUUUGUUGAUUCCAAACCUAUGAAUGAUCAAAUCCAUGAAUAUGAAACCUUGAUUCUUCAACUCCAGGCAAAUGGAACCCACUUAGAUGAGUCUUUCCAAGUUGCCUGUAUUAUAGACAAAUUUUCCUCUACCUGGUCAGACUUUGCCAAGACUUUGAGCCACACCCAAGGUGAUCUGUCUCUAACCCAAGUCCUAAAUUCUAUUAGGAUUGAAGAACAACAUCGCCUUAAAGAAAAAUCCCACUCCUCCAAUCCUUUGCCCAAAGUCAACAAUGUUGAAUCCAAGCCCAAAUCCAAAAAUCAGAAUCGUUCUUUUCAUCCCAACCACAACAAGUCCUUCAAGAAGAAAUUUUUCAACCAUAGGAACUCCUUUCAGCCCAACAACAGAAAACCCAACUUCUAUCAGAACCAGAAGAAAGAGAAAGGAGAAUCUGUUCGUUGCUGUUUUGUCUGUGGUCGGACCAACCAUAUGGCCAACCAAUGCUUCUACAAGAUCACUACUCCUCGUCAACCUAGAAGUAAGGGUCCUGCUACUUCUGGCGCUCAGGCCAACAUAGUGACCUGUAGGGCUGACUCCUCUAAGACUGCUAUCAGGUCUGNNNNNNNNNNNNNNNNNNNNAACAACAGAAAACCCAACUUCUAUCAGAACCAGAAGAAAGAGAAAGGAGAAUCUGUUCGUUGCUGUUUUGUCUGUGGUCGGACCAACCAUAUGGCCAACCAAUGCUUCUACAAGAUCACUACUCCUCGUCAACCUAGAAGUAAGGGUCCUGCUACUUCUGGCGCUCAGGCCAACAUAGUGACCUGUAGGGCUGACUCCUCUAAGACUGCUAUCAGGUCUGUUUCCUUCAUAAAUAAAGUUAACAUGACGCAAUUAGCACUUGACUGGUGGAUUGAUAUCGGAGCUAGUAUACAUGUUUGUUCUGAUCGCUCCUGGUUUUCAUCUUAUCAGGUCUCAAGUAGAGGAACUGUGACCAUGGGUAAUAAUGUUGUGGCGCGCGUGCUUGGAGUGGGACGAGUGGAUCUAACACUUACCUCUGGGAAGAUCCUCACUCUACAAGGCGUGCACCACAUUCCAGACAUCUGUAGAAAUCUAGUUAGUGGAUCCUUGCUUGUCCAGCAAGGAUACCGAAUUGUUUUUGAAUCAAAUAAAAUUGUAGUAACCCAUGGUGUCUCUUUCAUUGGAAAAGGUUUUCUUUGUGAUGGCUUGUUUAAACUCAAUGUAAUUAUUCCAUCUAUGAAUGAAAAUUCUAUUGUUCUUCAUAUUGACUCUCAUGUUGUCUGGCAUGGUAGGCUGGGACAUGUAAACUAUAGUUCACUUAAAAGAUUAAUGCACUUGAAUUUAAUCCCAAAAUCAGAACUUAAGAAUAAUGACAAAUGUGAGAUAUAUGUAGAGGCCAAAUUACCUAAAAGACCCUUUCACUCUGUAAGUAGAGAUUUCGAUCUUCUUGAACUCAUACAUAGUGAUGUAUGUGACUUAGGAAGAACCUCAAGGGGUGGAAACAAAUAUUUUAUAACUUUCAUAGAUGACCUUUCUAGAUACUGUCACCUCUAUCUUAUCAAAGCUAAAAAUGAGAUCUUAAAUAAAUUCAAAGUCUAUAAAGCAGAGGCUGAAAACCAACUAGAUAAAAAGAUUAAAAUCUUAAGGUCUGAUAAAGGAGGUGACUAUACCUCAUUUGAGCUGACCCAGUUCUGUGAAGAAUAUGGGAUAAUUCAUGAAGUGACAGCUCCUUAUUCACCCCAAUCUAAUGGAGUAGCUGAGAGAAAGAAUAGAACCUUAAUGGAUAUGGUUAACUCUAUGUUAAUUAGUUCAUGUGCACCAGAAAAUCUUUGGGGGGAAGCACUAGUAACUGCAUCUUAUAUCUUGAAUAGAAUUUCAUUCAAACAUAAUGAUAAAACUCCAUAUGAAAUCUGAAAACAUAGAAAACCUAGCUUAAAAUACUUAAAAGUGUAGGGGUGCUUAGCUAAAGUAAAAAUUUCAGAAAAUAAAAGAAAGAAAAUUGGACCCAAAACAAUAGAUGCAAUAUUUAUAGAAUAUGCAAUUGAGAGUAAUGCUAAUAGAUUUUUAGUAUUUAACUCUCAAAUAAAUGAAAUUAAUAACAGCACCAUAAUGGAAGCAAGAGAUGCAAUCUACUUUGAAAGUAUAUUUCCCUUUAAAACAAGGAUAAAUGAACAAAUAAAUAUCAAUAAUAAUUUAGGGAUUAGUUCUAGCAGAACCAGAUUUAGAGAAGAAGAAGAAGAAACUAAACCUAGAAGAAGUAAAAGAACUAAAGCUGAAAAAAACUUUGGAGAAGACUACUACACAUUCUUAAUAGAAGACUCUCCUACUUCUUUAGAGGAUGCCUUGAAAUCUUUAGAUGCCCCCUUCUAGAAAGAAGCAAUAGAUAAUGAAAUGCAAUCCAUAAUUCAAAACCAUACUUGGAAAUUGGCAGACUUACCCCUAGGAAGUAAACCCAUAGGGUGUAAAUGGAUCUUUAAGAAGAAACUUAGGCCAGAUGGAACUGUAGACAAAUAUAAGACUAGGUUAGUAGCCAAAGGUUUUACUUAAAAAUCUGGGAUUGACUUCUUUGAUGUUUAUGCCCCUGUAGCUAGAAUCACUACCAUUAGGAUCCUUAUUGCCUUGGCUUCCAUUCAUAAGCUGGUUAUACAUCAAAUGGAUGUCAAAACCGCUUUCUUGAAUGGGGACCUAGACGAGAGAUCUACAUGGACCAACCCGAAGGUUUCAUUGUCCCAGGUCAAGAGAAAAAGGUAUGUAGGUUGAUUAGAUUUCUUUAUGGUCUAAAAUAGGCCCCCAAACAAUGGCACCUUAAAUUUGAUGAAAUAAUCCUAACUAAUGGAUUUAAAAUUAAUAACACAGAUGAAUGUAUAUAUUAUAAAAAGAAGAAUAACAAAAUUAUAAUCUUAUGUUUAUAUGUAAAUGAUAUCCUAAUUUUUGGAAUAGACUUAGAAAUUAUUAAUGAAGUAAAACAAUUUUUAUCUCUAAAAUUUGAUAUGAAAGAUUUAGAAGAAGCAGACCUAAUCCUUAAUACUAAAAUCAUGAGGAAUGAAGAUGGAAUAACUUUGUCCCAAAGCCACUAUGUGGAGAAUAUUCUUAAAAAGUUUCACUACUCUGAUUGUCAUCUUGUAUCUACUCCCUAUAAUCCAUCUCUUCAUCUAAAGAAGAACUUAGGUGAUCUAGUCAAUCAAAGCUUGUAUGCCCAGAUCAUUGGUUCUUUAGGAUUUCUUGCAAAUUAUACCAGACUUGAUAUUGCAUACUCUGUGAACCGACUGAGUAGAUAUACUCACAAUCCUAAUAAUGAUCAUUAGAUUGCUCUACAAAGAAUUCUUAGGUACCUUAAGGAUACCAUAUCUCUGGAAUUACAAUAUUGUGGUUAUCCUGCUGUUCUGGAAGGCUAUAGUGAUGCCAGCUGGAUCAGUGAUAUAGUGGACACCAAAUCCACCACUGGUUUUAUCUUUCUUUUAGGAGGUGCAGCUGUAUCAUGGAAGUCUACCAAACAAACUGUAUUGGCUAAGAGCACCAUGGAAUCUAAAAUGAUUGCCCUAGAUACCACUAGCAUUGAAGCCAAAUGGCUUAGAGAUCUACUGAUAGAUUUACCUCUUGUGACUUCACCAUUACCUUCUAUACCUAUUCAUUGUGACUGCAGAUCUGCUAUAGAUAAAUGCAAUCAAGAAAAUGCAAAUGUGAAAAUGAAUAGGCACUUGAAAGUGCGCCAUAAAUCAUUGAGAUACAAAUUAAAGGAUAACUUGAUUGCACUAAAUUUUGUAAGAUCCGAAAGAAAUCUAGCUGAUCAGCUUACCAAAGGAUUGUCUAGAACAGUAGUUCUAGAGUUGUCGAGAGGGAUGGGGCUAAGCCUAUAAGUAAAAUCACCACGGUGGUAACCCAACCUGAAAAGGUUCAAUGGGUAGAAACAAGCUAGAUAGGUGACUAAUAAGGAGCACUAUUUGUUUUUCCCAUCCCUAGGGCAACAAUGCUCAUAAAAAGCAAGGGUUAGGUUGAGUUUUUACUCUUAAUGAAUCCGAGACCCAUGAGGCAGGGAACCUACUAGCUCGUACCCUUUUUUAGGAUUCACCUAUAUGCGUGUAGUCGUGAGGCCGCGACUGUGGAAAGUGGGCUGUUCCCUAAUAACACACAUGAAAAGAUACCUGUGCAUGGCCGUAAAGCGCAAACCCGCUUCGAGCAUGUUCACGCUAUAUUAUGUGUGCUGUUGAUGAAAUUUGAGCCAUAAACCAAGGUUCAAUGCAUAGUCCAUCUUGACUCCACAGAGGUAAUCAAUUGUCACUAAGUAAAGGUUCAAACCGAAAAGUAUUUACACCUAUUACAUAAUAUAAGAUACUCAGCACUUUAUUUUGAUUUCUUUUUUAAUUUUAUUUUGAUUUUAAAUUUUUUAAAUAUUUAAUUUAUGUGGGGAAUUGUUGAAUUAAAUUAAAUAUUUUAAAAUUUUGAAAACUAAAUUAGUCAACAGCCAAGUGGCAAGCAUCCGUGCACAAGCAAGGAAGCAAACAUGGAAAAAUUUCCAAAGAAAGCAAACAAUGACAAGUGUCAUGCAUCCAGCGUAAGAGCAACCAUGUUAGUAAGCUUGAUAUACAUGUAAUAUAGCAUGACACACAUUUUAAGUAAUCUUGGCAUAUAGUUAAUCAAUAUUUGAAUACUUAAUCUAGCCUGACACGUAGUUAAAUAAACUUUGUGCCAUGCUAAAUUAAAUAUGUUCCAAACUUACUUAACUAUGUGCCGAGAAUAUUUAACUGUAUGUCAGACUAAAUUAAGUGUUCAAACAUUGAUUAACUACAUGCCAAAAUUACUUAAAUAUGGGUCAUGCUAUAUUAUCUAUGUACCACACUUACUAACCCAAUUGCAGAGAAGAUUUAACUGUGUUCCAAUAUGAUUUAACUGUAUACCAUACUAGAUUAAGUAUGUUCCAAGCUUACUUAAUCUUCAACCUCGCCGUAACCUUCACUCGGAGCUAUCUCAUAUGCUGUCUACUCAAUCCUAUGGCGUAUUUUUUCGUAGGCUCGGUCUUCCAAUUCUUCUUGCAGUCUAUGACAAAAAAAAUAAAAACCCUGUAAUAUUUUUUGAAAAAAGAAAAGGAAAAAGCAAGUAGCAGUUUCUUUAGCCUUCUCCAGCUUCUUCUGAAUCCUUUCCCCCCCGCAGCUGUCAUGCCAGCCACUAACAGACGUACCUGUUCCGCCUCCAAUGUUUUGCUGCGGGUGCAUAUCACGCAGUUCAUAUAUCGAUGUUUAUCAUCCACUGGAAGCACUAGCCACUAUUAUAACAUCCAAAAACAAGAACCAUCACACAAGCCACCCUGAAGAUGCAGAAUUCCCGAUAAUUAGAGUGCAAAAGAGAUAGCAUCUUUAUUCUUUGGUGUUCGGUGGACAAGAACAUGCAACACCAUGAUCCAACAGGGUGUCUGCUCAACCUCCAGCUUUGUGUCAAAUCCCAUUCUUGUGUGCCAACUCCUUCACCGCCUCUUCAAGGGAGUGAUCAUUCCUAAUACUCUGGACCCACCUUGCAUUGAUUCUUACACGCUCAAGACUCUGCUUCAAUGUUCUCGCAAAUGAAGGUUUGGUUCGGCUUGCAAAGAAUUCUUCUAUCUCCUCAGCUUUCUCCUCGGAUGAAAACUGAAAUUAUGAGAUGGAAAUCUAUUGAGUGACCUGGGUUUACACUUGCCACAGUAAAAAGUCCAAAAAGCACAAAAUAUUUGUUCUUUAGCAUACCGGUGAUACAAUGUAAUCAAUGAAAGCUGCAAUUAGGAAAGCAGAUUCCCAUGUCUUUGAUAUAUAGUCCCAGUUUUCCUGCAUUCAAAACUCAAGCACAGUUAAGAUUUAGCAAACAAGAAAAAGACAUAAUUAAACAGAACAUCUAUUAAUCUAUCGUAGAAAUCACUAACAGUUAGCCUAUUCUAUCGAAUUUCCUACCACUUUUCUUUCAUCUUUAUAUUAGCAAAUAUCCACUCUAUAUUGCCCUUGACAUCAUUAUUCCAGACUAGAAGUAAAUGAACAUCUGUAUCCACCAAGUACUAGACCUGUUGAUGCCUGUUCGGUAUCCAUAGUAGACAGCUUCAUUGAACCAAAUGCCUUCUUUGAAGGGAAAAAAUGUUGAGAAAGCACCCAACUUAGUUGCAUGAAUCUCAAAUUAUAUCCUCUCUAUGUUGCCCUUGACAUCAUCAUUCUGGACUAGAAGUAAAUAAACAUCUUUAUCCAACAAGCAUCAGCCCUGAUUAAUGUUUCUUCAGCAUACAUAGUAUAAAGUUUCAUUGAGCCCAAUGCCUUCUUUGGAGGGUGAAAAUGGAGAGAAACCACUCAACCUAAUCGCAUGAAUUUUAGACUAUAUGCCCUGGCCCAGAACAAAACCACCUAAAACUGAGUUGUCAUGGGGCCAAAACAUGAGGGGAACCAUUAGUAAUAUAAUGAGAUGUACCAAAUAGAGCCAAAACAGGUGUACAUGAGGAACACAAUGCUCGAUGCAGUAAAAAUAUAGGUAGAGGAGCUGCGAUGGCUGCACAUCUACCAGAAGCUCUAUAACCCCAAAACAGUACCCACAAUACCUCAAGCACACCAAGGGAAAAAUGUUUAACGUUGAACAAAAUAUGCAAGUAAAAUAACAUAGUUGUGCUUGUACCCAAAAACAUAAGAUAUUCGUGAAAACCAAUAGGCCAAUAAUAGGCUCUUAUGGGUCUCAGCCAAACCAAAUAUUGUUCCUUUCUUAAUUGCAAAUCAAUAAAAUUCCAAUGACUUUAUAAAUCAAUAUAGCCUGGGCAUUAAUAUGUAAUAUGAAUAAUAACUGUAUCAAACAGAGCCGAUUUGACACUGACAAAUGCUCUUUAAUUCUAAUUGGCAUAAUGGAGGCAAUGAAUCUGUUUAAAUCAAUAAUAUACCUUCAACCAUCUCCAUGUAGUUUCACGUCCUUCCCUACUAACUCGAAGUCCAUAUACUGCAUCCUGAUUCCGAACCUUAUAAGCAGAUCAAGAUAAAGUCAGGCCACUUCACUUAUAUCAUCAAGAGAAUAUUUGAUACUGUAAAAAUAUUAAGAUCACCUCAGAAGACAAGAGAAAGUUCAGGACUUCAAGGACAAUAUCCGGAUCCGGACAAGAUGACAAGGAACCUGAGGAACAAGGUUAAAAGAGAAUUCUCAAUACCAACCAGUAUUAGUUAAGCAUAUCAGACCUUAAUAGAUUUCGUAAGCUCACAUACUUAGGACACGCACUCUUUCCUCACUUUCAUCAGUUUCCCUGUAAAUUCCUAGAAGAGAUUCAUAUCCGGAUCUAUUUGAGGCACUAACAGUCUGCAUUACAGCAAUAUAUGCAGCCUACAAGAUAACUUAUAUUAAAAUAAAAGAAUAAUAUACAUAUGAAGCAAUGUGAAGAAUAAUUACAAAGGUGAAAUUUGACCACCUUUCUUGUAUCGGGAGGCAGCAGUGAUGUAUUUCUAUCAUUUAAAAAGAUAUAAAAACGCCUCACUGCUUCAUUUCUAGUCAUAUCAUGCCCAAUUCGAACAAGAGCAGUCAAAAGAUCCCCUCUUAGCAUUACUGCCAAGUGGCUCUCACCUUCCUUAGGGUCCCAACCUAACUUUCUGAAAGCCAAAAACCAUAAAUUAAUUACAAUUUGGAUAUUAAAGAUCAUCAAAAAAUAUGCUCUCUCUCUCUAUAUAUAUGUAUAAUAUAACUUUGAGUUGAUCGAGUACAAAAUUGCAGUUCAUUUAUUCAGCAUGCAUGUGAUCCCAAACAAUUGAAAGCAACACAAAUUUUAUGCAUAAAAAAAUAGAUUAUGCUGGAAGGACACAUGCCAGGCUCUCAAGGCUAUCAAGAGGUUUACUAUGGCAUGUGAUUGACCUUUUUUCGGGGUGUGUCUGUGGGGUAGGUUUUUCCUUUUGUGUGUGUGGCGGGUGGGGUGGGGUGGGGGUACUGUUCUGACAUUCUUUCCCAAGGUUUUAAAUGUGAAUCCAUGUCAGCUGCGCCAGACCACUGCUGGCACAACGCAUGCACAUAUGCCAGGAAAUCCUGUGCAUCACAUCUUAAACCAUGCCACACCAUAUCAGCUUGUGCAGUCUGCCACAGGUUCAAUAUGUUCACUAAUGUUCCUUACCUCUUUAGUCGUUAAAUUACAAGCAUUUAUAUACAUAGUUUCCAGCUAGGCACAAGCUGUGUGGCCCCUGGCUGACAAGCCCUGUGCCAAUAGCACUUAAAGCAUUACUCUUUAUCCAAGUCAUGUAUAUCUUCACCAUGUAUUACACCAUAUCGUUACAAAACAAUCAAAGUUAUAAAUCAUAAUACAUAUAGCUACAGUUGGACAAUCAUACCAUAUCUUGACGAACAACAAAUACUUGAAAAAAAAAAUCAUUAAGCAAUAGGAAAUGAUUGCAAAUUCAAAAACAAGAUGAUCCCAUGACUCGAAAGUAUGUAUAGGGAAUCUAUAUCACAGCUGCAAAUUUCGAAAGUCUAUUGGAGCUUGGAUUGUUCAUAUGCUGAACUCUUGAACAAGACACACCAAUAAUGCCACAUAAUAAUUUGCAAUUAGGUAUGCAUCUUCAAGUUAAACCUUAUGGAAAUUUGAUCAACUCUUUCAAGCUAAGAAUAUGGAAGGUCCAAAUUCAAGGGUUAGUUUUAAUGUAUAUGUAACUGAAUAACAUGAAUUUGAUUAUGUUAUGAUCUGAUAUCAGUCGUUAGUAAGCUAAUUCUGUGUUUAUCCCAUUUUUCAUUGAUCAUAGCAAGCAUUGGUGUCUAUGGGAUCCGUGACAUCCACUUCUGCCAAAUGUCACACUUUAAAACAUUUUUUUUUGAAUUCUAAGUGGGUCCCAAAACCAAAAAAAAGUAGGAACUUGUAAAAUUCAAAGGAAUAACAUACCCACAACAUAUGCAUUUAACUUCAAGAAUAUCCAUUAUUUGGACCAACAGAGAGCAUACAUAUCUUUAUGAUCUUUCUUUCUAAAGAAAGCUAUAAAUCUUAAAGCUAUCAAGAUAAACUAAAUGAUAGUUGAAUAUCAAUGUCUAAAAUAAUGGUUACUCCACAGAAAUAUGACUUGGAUUAAUAAUAUUUAUAAUACAUCUUGCAUGGGCUUACUCUGCAGAAAUUUGGAGAAGUAUGAUUAAAAAUACUUUAAUCUCAUCUGCCAAUUCAGGAGUGGCAUCCGUAACAAUAUUUGCUAUCUUGCAACUUAUCUGGCAAGGCAAAAAAAAUAAGUAUUUAUGUUUCUAGGCAAUCUGAAAAAGAAAAUGAUAUCUGGAGGAUAACAUACAGUGACUAUGUGCCCCAGCACAGUAUAAUCAAACUCUUCCCGAUAAGCAUCCAACAAAGACAAUAAAGAUGACAAUGUCUGCUUGCAAGCCACACAUAGUGCAUAUGAGUCUUCUAAAAUGCCUACACAUCAGAAUGUUAUAAUGUUACUGAUUUUCCAAACAUAAGUAUAGGUCAAAAGAAGAAUGCUCAGUCAACUAACCAAUUCUAUCUGUUGCAGACAACUUAUUGGCCUCUAUUGCAUAUCUAAGUCCAGCUGCAAGUUCAUCAUCAUAUUUCACUCUAUAGAAGCCUGUUUGGUCAAUGUUAAACUUGAUCCAAAAGCGUUCAGAGUUCCCCUGGCUGCUUUUCUCUAACAAGUUAGCCUUACCAUUUGCAGAGCCAAUAAGAUCCAUGAUAUCCAACUCCUCAAAUUUUGUUUUUAGUAAAAACUUUUUCUGAGUAUUAUAUGAACCACAACAUAAAGUAAGAGGAACAAUCCACUGUCCAUUACCAGAUGAUCCAUCUGUCAGAAACUGUGACUGCAAUUUAAAUGAAAAAAAAAUGUCAGUUUAACUCCUUUAUUAAAGAAAAAUCCUGACAGAUUAAAGAAAGAUCAUAACUACAAGAAUAUGAAGCAAAUUCCCUUGAGAAAUUGGCCUCAAAUAGUCCAAAAGCUAAAUAUACAUGGGAAUUUUAUGCUAAGCACAUUGCAUAAAGAUGGUUAGAGGAUCAUGUGCGCAAUGGUCCUAUUUGGGAAUUGCCUAACUACUAUAAUUAUAUCUAUCCAUGUUAUCACAUUUAUUUCUAGUGAUAGAGGGGAGGGGGGAAGGGGGAACAGAGGACUGUUCUCUUUAAUGGACAAUCUGCUAAUUAACUAUCAAUAACCAAGCGCAUAUCCAGCACCAAUUUCUGUCAUGUCCAAACCUAUACCGCUUGUCAUGACUUAUGAUAAAGGAUUACUCCCAAACAUAAUAAAUGAUCUGUCUUCAUGAUGAUAAUUCCAAAACAAAGUAUAUCAAAUGAUAUGAUCUAUAACAAAACCCCUUUUUUGGGCCUCCAGACAAUAGAAGGAAGUAAAAUACCAAUUAUGAGUGUGAAGGUCCAUAACAACUUAGACGUGUUGAACAAUGGAAAUAUUUCAGCUGCAUGAUAUGUAAACUUUAACAGGAUAUUAGAUUUUCCAAACAAAGAGUUCUUUUCAAUUUCUACAUAUUAGGAAUCAAUACAAAAUAUAUAGGCAAAAUUAUCUCCACAAAGAUGGGAUCACAAAAUAUGCCUUUCAAGGAAAGCCUACAAAAAAUCAUGAUCCAAGAUCAAUCCUCAAAUGAGAACCACAAACAUAAACAAAACUGACAACACAAUUGAAUUUAAGAAGACCAUCCCACCACCUCCAAUUCAAUUUAACAAACAGAGUUCAUUAUGUUUCAUUAGCAAGCUUUUUGUUCUCAUUUUGAUGUUGCUUUUUACUGGGUGUCUUUAAAACUUUUGCAGAUUUAUCUACCCAUGCUUCAAUAAUAUGCAACAUUGCUUUGCCAUGGAGUCCAGCUCCAAGCCAGAAAAUCUACACCAUUGUACCGACAUGACUUGAGCAGAUGAGCAGAAAACAUUAUCAACUGAUAAAUCAGUAAAUGCGAAGGCAUUUGGGUGUCACUACAACCAGGACGUGUUCCAUGUAUUAACAAAAUCGCAGAAGUAGCCCAAAACAUGGAAACAGGGGGGAAAUGUCUGACUCCCAAUAAAUAUAGUAUAACAGCUUGAAAAGAGCCAAGGGCUUAGAAAUAAGGUUAAAGGGAUUUAGCAAUUUCAAAUAAGGCAUAUAGAGAGGAAACAUUAUUGCAAAAUUUUAUAAUGGACAGGAAAAUUAGGAAAAGUGUCAGCACAGUUCAUAAAAUCAGUUUAUUUUGAAGAUUUUGCAAACUGGGGAGACAUAAACAAAAUCAUGAAAAAGAAGCAAGCAAAAGAUGAAUAAUUAGGUAAUUUGCUUGUAACGUAACAAAUGAUUCACCUGAAAUUCAUUUCAAAUCAGAACAACCUAAAAUUGAACACUAAUUUGCCAUAUUAGAUUUGUUCACACCACAGUUACAAGUUCGGUAUUUAGGAACAAUUUAGCAACAUUGAAAUUUGAGAAUUUGGAAAAAAUAGGCAAAUUCAGACAAAUUUGGGAAAAAUUCGCAAAUUUGAUUAGUAAUCAAUAAAAUAAUAUUUAAAUAUAAAUGUUUAGAUAUAAAUAAUUACAUGAACUCAUUAUUGUCAACACAUUUUCAUAAUUAAAUCACUUUCUUAACACUUAUAAUUUAUCAUCUUCCAGUCCAAAUAUUUUGAUGUAUUAAAUUCCAAUCCAAUCAAGGAAACGACAAAAAUGAAAAACUCCUUUGAAUAGAUGAUGCUUUCGAAUUUAUAAAUUCCAAAUCAUUUUUCACACAAGACAGAAGACAAAAAUGAUUCUAGCAAGUUCCUCAUUAUUGGGUGCCCCUUCCGUCGAGAUGCAAUUGUUCUUAUAUUCAAAAUAUAAAAAAUAUUUUUUUGAGAAAAUAUAAAAAAGAAAAGUUAAAAUAACACCUCUACCGAGAAAGGAAGAGACAUCAUUCCCAACCUUAACUUAUUUAUCCAAAAAACAUAAAGAACAGGACUCACACCUUGCCUUUUCCUGUUCCCAAUCCUUACUCCCAUUUCACCAGGCUGUCAGCCCACAUAUCCCCCACAUCCCAUCCUCUUUUGGCCUUUUUCUAGUCACCCACUCACUCUACCUCAAGCAACCUUCGAGCCUGAAUGUUCUUUCAGAACAUAUUCAUGAUCAGACAUGGCAAAAAUUGACCCGACCGAAGAAACCAAUCCGAAUGACCCUAUUUAAGUCAGGUUUGGGUCAAGUUUUUUUCCAGUUAGGGUUGAGUAUGUGUCAGACUUUUUGACCUGAACUUUAAUUGGGUCAGGUAUGGGUGAAAGCUUUGACUCAGACUCAUCAUGAGGGUAGGGUUCUAUUAUUUGGGACAAAACAAUUUAAACUGGGUUGAGUCAUAAUUUUGGAUGAGAUUUUUUGGACCACUAUAUCUUUUUUUCAGUAGUUGUUUGAAAUCAAUUUGGAAAUUAAUUAAUAAGGAUCAUAAAGAUUGGAUUUUAUAGAUUAACCUAGGUCGUUUAAGUACUGUCAUGCAAAAUUAAUUAGGUUAGGUCAAAUAUGUGACGCAGAAUAACACGUUAGUGGGUACGGAUCAACAGAUCUUGACCCAACAUUGGGUCAGGCCAGGUACAGGUCAAGUUUUUGUAUGUUGUUGUCCUAACUUAGCCCAACCUGAACCCGACCCAUUGCCGCCCCUAUUCAUGAGAUUUACAAUUUCUGAGAAUAAUUUACAACUGAUUCGCAGAUCGAUACAUAAAUUGAACAGCGAUUAUGUUUGUCUUUGUUCAGCCAUUAAUUCACGAUUUUUCAAAAAUUCAUCAAAUUUUGUUACUAUGGUUCACAAUUUCACAUCAUUCAAUAACAUUGACAAAUUCAUUAUCCUUUUUACUGGUUCACUAUAAGAUCAAGAAGGCAGCAAAUUGAGGAACCAUGGAAGGGUCCUUGUGACCCAGUAAGCUCAUCUAAGGUGCCCCAAAAAAGCUACCACGAGACAAGAGCAUACUCAUGAUUGCUAUUCACCUACCAGGCCAUUCAAAAUCUAUAACAUUGGCAAGAAUCUAACAAUCAAAUAGUAGGAAUAGAUUUCCCUCUAAUAAGAGUUGAAUGCCCGAAAAUUUCUAUACUGUCUAACAGAACCUACGGGAUUGACUAGAAGACUGUCAAAGUCGAGCAAUGCUCAAAUAAAGAUUGCUGGCAGACUCAUAAAAAAUACACGCACACACAACAGGACUUCACACCGACUAUAUAUGUGCUGUAACAAUAAAGUGGAACAGUCUAUGAUGCAAUCUUUCUCGUGAAGGAAGAGGCUGGGGAGGUGAUAAUGCUGAUAAUAGUAUAAACUAUAAACAAUAUGAUGUAAUCUUCUCUGCAUGCCGCAGGGUAUAUGAAAUAUAUCAGUUGACAACAAGAAGUACUCCCAGUCUUAUUCAUUUACGCAAAGCCCGAAAGCAAAGAAAGCAUUCCAAAGAUAAACCUGCUCAAAUUCCAACCCAUGCUCUUUACGUCUUAUAUAUAUAACGGGAUAUCCUUUUUGCUUUGUCCAUGAACUCAUUAAGUCCUUAACAGGUUCACCAGACUCCUCUUCAAGUACAGCCCACAGGUCCUCAGUCUUUGCGUUUGAGUAGGCAUAUCUCUUUAUGUAUGAAGCUAGUGAUCUCUGGAGAAUAUGAAGAAGUUAAAUAUAAAAAUAAUACACACCAUUCUGAAUCGUACACAGAUAGUGUCACUUGAUAGAACUUAUAAGUAUUAUAGAAAAUUGAUUGAAGAAAAAAAAAGCAACAUAUAAUGAGCUCCACAGGUAAUACUGUAACAUAAGUUUCUCGAGUUAACAAAAUUGAGUACCUGACAGCAGUCUAAAAGAACAAAAAAUCAAGUUCUCAGGACAUGAUGAUCACAGCUCAUAUGUUAAUAGCAUAAACUAUUGUUCCUUUAGCAAGUUGUAAACUUGCAAAACAGCAUCGUGCCAAGCACAUGAUUCAGUUUCGCAGUUUCCAGCCAAAUCAGAAAAGUAUCAGUAAUUAGGAGUAACCAUGGGUCACUAUCAUAGCAUUCGAUAUGGUUUCCAGUUUUCAAUUUUUUAACUUUUAAAAACUGAAACUAGUUUCUCUUUCUAUUUUGAAAACCAAAAACUUGAAAGUUGUUUGGCAGCGAAUAUGGUGACAGUGGUGGAGUGGCAGCCAGCGGCAAUCAGUGGUGACGAUUGUGGGUGGCAGUGGGUAGCAAGCGAUGGCUGUCGGCAGCCAGCAGCAGGUGGUGCCCGGCAAUGGGAGGAGGAGGUGGCUGGUGCCUGAUGGUGGUGGUGGUGGCGGCGGCUGAGAGUGGGCAAUGGAGGUGGUGGUAAGUGGUUGCUAGCUUUCAAAAAAGUAAAAACCAUAUCUUUUGGUUUCCACGAUUUUCAGAAACUUGAAGCAAGUUUCAGAAAACUGAAAAUGGAAACUGGGUUACCAAACACCAAUUUUGUUUCAGUUUCUAUUUUUUUUUAAAAAUGAAAAACUGGAAAUUUACAACCAUGCCAAACAACGCCUAUAUUUGUCCCGAAUUUGAUGCAACAAAAAACUUCAAUAAUUAUAGAAAGGGCUUCUCUUCAAAAAUGCGGCACCUAUGAAAGGUAUAUACUACAGAGUAGUUAGAUUUGCUUUUUGUUUUCAAGAGGUUAAAGUUACUGCUGGCUAUAUAAAGUUGUCUUAUGCUACUGCAACAAGGUACAACUGAUCUUACUAAAAAAACCUAUGCUUUUUCUUCUCUUUGAUUUAUGACCUGAUAUUCUGGUGUUAAUACAGUGUUUCAGGUUAUUGUGUCGAUUAGCUGCAUGCUUAAAAUGAUUCAGACAUAUAAAAGUAGGAUAUCCCCCAUUGCCACAUUUGAUAUCAAUAUACAUAAGAUAAGAAUACCUAAUACAUUAGUUGAACCCAGAUAGUAUAAAUAUUCAGCAGUUACCGCACUUGUUAUCCCUAAAUAUAGAGCAAGAAGCAAUCCACAAUGGAAUGUUAAAGAAAACAUCCAAUGGAAAAGAUCUAGAAACUAACAUAUAUGGACUGGUGGUCAACCUAUAAUUCAAUAGAUGCAAAUGAAAAAGAAACUUCCUACUUGAUUGCAAUCGAUAUAACUGAACUUGACAGACCUAUGCAGCAAUCAAGUACUUCCACAUCCAAAAGUGUUUUAAGUACCUACUGGUUCUUUUAGGUUCUUAACAUAUAAAAUAAUUUAAGUAAAUGAAACUGAUAUUCACAUUUGCCUCGAUAGGGUGCUCUUCUUCAAAAUCAUUGCAGUUUAUCAAGGAAUUCUCCUCUUUAAUGGAGUUCUUACUGACCUUGAAAACUCUAAUUGCCAAAUAAGGCAUCAAUAUAGUUCUGUUGAUGACAUGAUUUGUUUUUACUGGACCAUAUGUCCAAUACUUAGCACACCCCACAUACCGAGUGUCUUAUAGUACAAUACCAAGACAAUGUAUAGGGCGUACCUACUGGGUACGACCAUCAGUCCAGUACCACGACUGCAAACCUUGGUUAAUGACCCCAUUCUCCUUUAUAAUAUGUAACUUCGAUCUCUCUACCAUAAUAUUUUUAAUUAACUAUAGAAGUAGGGAGCUUAUGUUAUCUCUAAUCAUGGUCUGCUGAACCGACCUGUACCGGUCGGUUCAGCCCGGACCGGACCGGUGCCAGUCGGCACCGGUCCGGUAUAGGGGUAUAAAACGGUUCCGACCCAAAUUGGGUCGGAAUCGAUUGGUUCUGUACCUGGACCAGUGCGAACCGGCCCGCGCCAGUACAAGCCGGUACCGGUGCGAACCGGCCCGAUACAAGCUGGUACCGAUGCGAACUGGGCCGGUUCGCACCGGUCCAAGCCCACGCGGGGCACCGUGCCCACGAGCGGAUUCCCAGCACCGUGCCACGAGCGGUCUGGGACGCGCGAGCGGAGCGCGCGCCCGCGCGCGUUUCCCCGAGUAGGAAUUGCGCCCGCGCGCGUUUCCCCGCGUAGGAAUCGCGCCCGCGCGCGUUUCCCAGCAGGGAACCGCGCUCGGGCGCGGUUCCCCGCGCGGGGCAUCGUGCCCACGCGGGCUGCCAGCCCGCGUGGGGGCAUUAAAUGCCACAGAGUGGCAUUUGAAGCGUCUGCGCGCGUCCCAGACGCGCGCGGACGCGUUUUGUUUUGUUUUGUUUUUUUUUUAAUUUCCGCGCGCGCGGCUCCGGUUCGGUACCGGUUCCAAGCCGGUACCGAACCGGAACCGUACCGGUGCCGGUGCUCACCGGUACGCCGGUACAAUCGGUCCUGCGAACCUUGCCUCUAAUUGUGACCUCAACGGGAAGACAAUCUAUAACAAAGUAUAAUAUCACUGUUUGGCCUUUAAAAAAAAAAAUCCUCAAAUAUUUCUAUAAACCAAAAAACUGCCAAAAUCUUUGCAAUACACUACCAUACCAUGCUAUUAAUAUCUUACUACUAUAACCUCCCAUACUGCCAUCCAAGCAUAUUUAAAGACAAAGCCUAUUACUUGAUAUCAGGGUUCUUAAUAACCAAGAUAUCAUCCAUCUUGAUGGAUGAUCACCAUCGAGAUGACUUAAGAUCUUAGUUUAUCUUGGUUGAGAUGGUAAUUGGAGAAAAAUUGGAAACAUCUAAGAUUUUCCAAGAUCUCAACCAAGAUUUUAGGGUUGAAAUCAAGGUUCAGCCGGUCGGUUUGGCAUAUAACAGCUGAGUUUUUUCAGCCUCGAGCGGCUCUUCCUCGAUCGGUCGCUCGGUUUCAAAGUCCUCCAUCCCCAAAGUCCUAAUCCUCAAAGCAUACCAAGUGAGUCUCUCUUUCCUCCCCCUCUCUCCCUCAAUCCUCAAAGCAUACCCAUCACCAGAUAUGAAGCUCUCAAACUUCCCUGGCGACGGCUCGAACUUCCACAGCUCGUCUCUCCCUCCCUCUCUCUUCAUCUCUUCCUCCCUCUCCUCCUCCCUAUUUCAAUACGCCUCAAAACAGCAUGAUAUAGACCCAUACUAUACCAAGCUGGUCACCGGCCGAUAUGAGUCCCAGUUCGGAUUUGGCGAACCUUGAUUGAGAUAUUAGAAUCUUAGCCCAUAUGACAAAUCCUAGAUUAGCAAUUAAUUUAAAGCAUUAAUUUUGAAAUUUAACAAUCAAAAUAUCAAAUUAAGAAAAUAAAUACGUGAUUACAAAAUAUAAGCCAAUAUGAUGAUAUCAUUGCCUAGCAUGUUAAGAUUUAUCAGUUUGUAUAGGAUGACAUAAUAUAGGCUGAUAUUUUAUAUUUCUCAUAUAGGGAAGUAUCCAAUACCGAUACAAAAGGGGAUCCCAGCAGAGAUAUGAACCUUGCUGGCAUUUAUUGAAGUAUAGUACUUCAUAAAAAUCAUUUGAUGAACCUAUUACCUAACAUUGCAAUGUUUUCAUGAGUACAGCCUACAUAUCAACCAUGACAACAUUUAUCCCUUCUUCUAGGGUUUGUGUGCAAAAUUUCCAAUGACCAAAUCUUACUUUACCAUUAAGAUUUUAUUUGCAACGUAAGAAGUGAGACAAUAUAAUAACAAAAUUCCUAUUUUCAGCCCAUACCCAGAGUGGUACAGUUUGAAGAUUCAAAUGCACACCACAUUCAGUAAUAUAAUAGGCACAUAAUUUUUCUCUAUGUGAAUGAACAAAUGUUUAUUCAAAACUAGCCGAAUGUGCAGAACAAAAAUAAGACAAAAGCAAAUUUCUCCAAAUAAUCAUUAGGCUUCUUUAGCUGAAAGAUUUAAAAAAAAUACUCAUGACACAUUACCAAGUGAUUGACAGCAAUGCUAACAAUACCUUGUGAGCCAGCUCACCCUUCGACAAGAAUAACAGACAACUGCCUUCUUUAUCAGAAAGAAAGUUGGCAAUUCAUAUUCUUUGGCAUUGUAAUUUUGAAUAAUAUAUUGAGCAAAUCAACUAAUAUAAUGUGGAUGAUCAAAGGAUUCUUCCCAUAUAUUAACUAAGGAAUGGUUUGUUCAGACAAAGAAUAACAUAAGAGACGGUCAUGAGAAACAAACAAUCAACCUGAAAACAUUCGGCACCAAGGUAACUUUGCAGCAUUCGAAUAAUAGAGGCUCCCUUGUCAUAGCUUAUCGAAUCAAAAAUUUGAUCAAUCUCAUUUGCAUGAUUUAUUUCAACCUGCAUGAAAUGACAAUGUACUUAAUAGGUACAGUUAAACUAUUGCUAAUCAAAUGAUGAUGUCUUUAGAUAGUGACACUAAACAAUUAAGUAUUUUUCUUCUCUGAUUUCCCUGUUUCUCUUUAACUUACUUUAAGUGAAUGAGGAAGUGUGCAGAUUUCAGAUGCACUAGUUGACAUCUCGAACUGGGAUUAGGGGUGCCUAUUUAUGCAAGCCAGGCCAUGCUCAAGCACAGGUUGGUUCAUCAUCCAAAUAGCUUGAUUUAUAGCUGAUGGUGAAUGGCUUGUUUAAAGAAUUUGGUGAAAAAAUAAGGUCUCCUGAGGCUUUCAUAUAUUAUUUAUGAUGCAUGUACAUAUACGUAUGUAGUAUGUACUUACAUAUGUAUGCAUGUAUGUCAGUGUGUACAUAUAUAUGUAUAUGUAUGUAUGUAUGUGUGUAUACAUAUGUAUGUAUGUGCAUAUGUGUACGUAUGUGCAUAUGUGUGUAUGUACGUAUUUAUGUAUGUGCGCACGUACGUAUUUAUGUAUGUGCGCACCUACGUAUUUAUGUAUGUGCGCACCUACGUAUUUAUGUAUGCACGUAUGUAUAUAUGUAUUUGCAAUGCAUGUCGUACCGACCCGAAUCAAACAAUAUGGGGCAUACCAUACCGUACCAGUUCGGUACCGGUACCGGUACCUAGUACGGAUGACGUACUGACACUCGGUACGCCAAAAAAUUCCGUACCAUACCAUACCAAUAUUGUGCUAGUGUGGCACCGGUAUGGAAUUCGGUACCGAGACAGUGAACCAUAUGUAUGUGUGUAUAUGCAUGUACUGAUGCAUGUAUGCACAUAUGCAUACAUGUCCGUACAUACAUAUGUAUAUAUGUAUGUAUGUAUGUAUAUAUGUAUGUAAUUGUAAUUUAAAUAAUUUUCAAUGUUUAAUCUCAACCUUGCAGCUGAGAUACAAUCUUCUUAUUUAAAUAAUGAUAAGAAUUGGUUUUUAUUUAUGACAAACAACUAAAAUGAUAUAUGAUGUAUUACAUAUCAUAGAUUUAUUCAUUUCUAUUCAAGCUUAAUCGAGCCAAACACACAAUUCCUAGGCAAACAAGAGCUGCUCAGACAGCUUACUAGUUUGACAGCCCUGCCUAAUAUUUGCCCAAACAUCACACAUGUUUUAAUUACAAUGUCAACGCAUGAAUCAGAUCCAGCAAAUGGACACUUUGAAUGUCUUGACCCUCAUGUCCUGAAGAAGUACAUGUGAGAGAAUUUUCUUUAGGCAUAAUGAUAUUUUCUUCUACUUUGUGUAUGUAUGUAUAUGUGUGAGUGCGCUGGAUGUGGUUACCCCACAUACUGCAGGUACACGAAACUAGUACAGGACAGCCGAGCAAUUGAACAUUGUUCUCGAGCAUAGAGGUUUGUGUGGCUAGAAGUGUUUUAGUUUCAACUCCAAAACAUCACAAAGGAAUAUUACCUCAAUAGGAUGUGAUUCAGAAAGUGCAUCCAGCACAAGGCCUGAUGUAGUGUCAUCAAGAAAUUGAGUCCAAAUGUUCCAUUCAGGAAAUAAGGAAUCGGCUGCUAAAUAGCUCAUCUGUUCAAGAGCAGUUAAAACUAAAUGAUGUGUGAGCUUUCCAGCACAACUGAUGAUAAUAGCUUUUUAGUAUAAAUUAUAAUAAUAACAGACAGCAGUAGAGCAGCUUGGUUACCCAUGAUGCAAAUCCCUCAUUGAGCCACAAAUGUGUCCACCAUUCCAUUGUCACAAGAUUUCCAAACCAUUGGUGAGCCAAUUCAUGUGUUACAGUAAUUGCCACCUGGAUAGAAUCACCAUAUGCACUGACAAUUAGCUUUUUCUAAAGGCAAAAAAUUAAGGCAUCAAACUUGAUCCAACACAAACCGGACAGUGUGCAUGGUGAAGCACCUUGGAAGCUAAGAACUACAACAAUUACUUUUAAACUGAUGAAUAGUAAGAUUUAAACAAAAUCUAAUAUUCAGUUUAAUUAGAACAUUGAUUGAUAAGCACCGCUACCAAAUCAAGUAGAAAAUCAAAUUUCUGCUUACCCAUUGUUUGCUCGAGGCUGACGAGUAGCGUUCAUCAUAAAGCAAAGAUUUUUCGCGAUACGUAACCAGUCCAUAGUUCUCCAUAGCUCCAGAAGCAAAAUCAGGAAUAGCGACCAUAUCCAAUUUGGGAAGUGGAUAAGGCACCACAAAAUAUCUGAAGAAGAACUAGUCAGUCAAGUUGGUCACCAGGGAAGACUUACUAGGCCCUUAAACUUCCCAUAAAAGUAAACAUCAAAAAACCAGUAGAAGUGGAAUAUAUAGCCAGUAUAAAACUUUCAACUAUAUCUAUUUCACAAUUUUAAAAGUAUGAAGAGAAGUAAUGAUGACAAUGACAACAACUACAACAGCAACAAUAGUGGUAAGUGGUAACAGUGGCCAUAGAAAUCAUGGUGAAUAAUGAAGAGUACUUCAGCUGCAAGUGAAUACAAAACUUAUAAAUGGAUGAGUACAUCAAAACUUCAAUUGAGAGAAAUUACCCUUUGUACAAAUCCAGUGUCUUCACAGCAACAUCUAAAGCAAAUUUUCCUUGGUUGCUCUUACCAACCUGACAAUACACACGAACCCUGAUUCCUGAAGAAACAAGCAGCAAUUACAUGAUAAUGAAACGAGUUCUGCAAUAAGGAAGAAGAAAAUAAGGGGAAGGGGUUUAACAAUAGGUAAUACAUAGAUAGACCAUACCAUCGGGUGUAAAGGCUUCUACAUAAUCAAACAAACCAACAACAACAGCCACCAAAUAAGUUGACAUAAUUGGUGAUUCCUGGAAAGAGAGAGUCUUAAGAAGCCCAUCAAUUUUUUCUUCAAUUACUGGCAUAUUGGACAAUGCUACCAGCUCAGAUGGCACUUUUAAUGUUAUCCUGAAUGUGGCCUGAAAAAUUAUGUUCAUAAAACAAGUGAGGGAUUUAAAUUGAGCAGACAACAUGCAAACAAGCGAAUCAUUCAGAAUCAAGACUGACAAGAUAUUCCUGUCAACAAGGCUCAAUAAAUGUAUUUGUUGGUUGGCAUAAAUUCAUGCAAACUUCGGCAUUUCCCCGUGUUUGGCAUUCCCCCUGCUUCAGAGGAUAUUCUUAAGAAGCACUUUUCAAAAAGGUGCAUAGAAAUGCAUUUGCAAUCCAUCAUAAUAAGAGUACAAGACAACAUGAUAAAUCAUCUGGGAAAGUAAUCUGGAAUGAUUAAGAUGGAAACCUACAGGUCUAACACAAUGUGAGAAUGGAGAUUAUUCUUUAUUUCAUCAUGGUAAGAGAUCGAACCCAGUGCAUAAGAGCACAGUCAUAUCUAUUCAUAGCCAUAUAUAUCCUAACCUAUCACAUGAAGUCGCACAUUUAACCUUUUAUCUUCAUUAAACUGUGGAUCCAAGCAGUAAUUUAAUGCAUCCUACACAUUUGUAAAUUUUUUUUCCUUCUUUUACACAGUAUUUUGGCAAAGUCAAUCUAUCAAGAAAAACUUAAAGAUCUAGAUGAAUGAUCAAAGAGGAUUCAAAAACAGGAAUGUAAAAGUUAACAAGAUAAAUGAUCAAAGAGGAUUCAGAAACAGCGAAAAUGAAUUCAUCAGUUCUCCUGAUAUGAUUAAUGACCUUAAAAGCGGGUUCAUCCCAGCAGGGAAAACAUCGCCUGGCAUCAGCAGCCUCAAACUGAGUAACCGCCAUAUUUCUCUUCUCCCCAUUGUACUCAUAUACACUACAGGGCAAAAAGCAGCAUGAUACUAACAAAAAGGUAAACGGAAAGACGAUAGGAACAAAGGUAAAGAAGACCAAAGACAGCUAAAUACCUUCUAUAGAACCCCUUCAUCUGGUCGUUUAGGGUUCCGGUGAACCGGAUUCUAAGAAUUCCCUUCCCCAAAGGAAGAACUCUAUCAAACCCAAGCACCAAGAUCUCAUCUUCUUGCACCUCGACGAUCUCCAAAGGGCGGAGCUCCUAAAACCACCCAUGAAUUCCUUACUAAACAAGAAGGAAAAACAAGAACACCCUCCAAGAUGUAGAAAGAAGUAGGGUCAGAGCAACAUGAGACGACUCUUAAUUCUUGAACGAGACAUCACAAGCCCACGGCUCACAUUAUAGAGAAGAAAUAGGAAGGAACAAGAACACCCUCCAAGAUGCAGGAAACCAGGGUUAGGGUGAAACCUGAGACGAUUCUUGGUUCUUAAAGGAAAUGGAGGCAUGGUCGACGGCGAGGUCGGCGGCGUUGAGUACGAGGAACCUCGUGGCGGCGAGGACGUCGAGGGCGAUCUCGGCGAAACCGGCGAAGGCACAGGCGGAGAGGUCGGGCUUAAGGAAGAGAUCGUAGCGCCGGGGGGCGGCGAAUUCCGGGAGCCGCGGCUGACCCUUGAACUGCUCCACGCUCUGUUCCUCCGCC